rnacentral:rRNA from 1 species
GACGAACGCUGGCGGCGUGCUUAACACAUGCAAGUCGAACGGAAAGGCCUCUUUCGGGGGGUACUCGAGUGGCGAACGGGUGAGUAACACGUGAGUAACCUGCCCUUGACUUUGGGAUAACUUCAGGAAACUGGGGCUAAUACCGGAUAGGAGCUCCUGCUGCAUGGUGGGGGUUGGAAAGUUUCGGCGGUUGGGGAUGGACUCGCGGCUUAUCAGCUUGUUGGUGGGGUAGUGGCUUACCACGGCUUUGACGGGUAGCCGGCCUGAGAGGGUGACCGGCCACAUUGGGACUGAGGUACGGCCCAGACUCCUACGGGAGGCAGCAGUGGGGAAGAUUGCACAAUGGGUGGAAGCCUGAUGCAGCAACGCCGUGUGCGGGAUGACGGCCUUCGGGUUGUAAACCGCUUUCGCUCAUGACGAAGCUUUGUGUGACGGUAGUGGGUAAAGAAGCACCGGCUAACUACGUG